rnacentral:rRNA from 1 species
CCUACGGGAGGCAGCAGUGGGGAAUAUUGCACAAUGGGGGAAACCCUGAUGCAGCGACGCCGCGUGAGUGAAGAAGUAUUUCGGUAUGUAAAGCUCUAUCAGCAGGGAAGAAAAUGACGGUACCUGAUUAAGAAGCCCCGGCUAACUACGUGCCAGCAGCCGCGGUAAUACGUAGGGGGCAAGCGUUAUCCGGAUUUACUGGGUGUAAAGGGAGCGUAGACGGCAGCACAAGUCUGGAGGGAAAUGCCGGGGCUUAACCCCGGAACUGCUUUGGAAACUGUGCAGCUUGAGUGCAGGAGAGGUAAGUGGAAUUCCGAGUGUAGCGGUGAAAUGCGUAGAUAUUAGGAGGAACACCAGUGGCGAAGGCGGCUUACUGGACUGUAACUGACGUUGAGGCUCGAAAGCGUGGGGAGCAAACAGGAUUAGAUACCCCUGUAGUC